GGCGCGGUGGCCCAGGCGGAAGAGGGCCUGCGCAUUACGCGCAACCGCUAUGGCGCCGGACUCACAACCAUUACCGAAAUGCUGAAAGCCGAAGACGCGGCCCGCGCCACCA
rnacentral:tRNA from 1 species